UGUGACUGAUUUAGGUGCUCCUAAUGCUGGCUUUAAUUAAAUCUUUUUUAAUCUGACUUGGUGAAGUCAGUGGGAGGAUUGAAAUUGGCUGGUUAAUUUUUUCUCUUCUAUCCUUUAAUAAAAUCUUUAAAAAUUAUUAGGUCCCUAAAAAUGAUUAAGUUAUAGUGAUAACUAAGUCAUUGCCUCCCAUUAAGUGAGUGAUAAUGAGUCCAUUAGUUUAAUAAUCAUUGGAGGCCAAAGGCCCGGUGCUUAUUGACUAAUGAAAUUGUUGGUGCAGAAUUCCGCCGA
rnacentral:lncRNA from 1 species